GUGGGGAAUUUUGGACAAUGGGCGAAAGCCUGAUCCAGCAAUGCCGCGUGAGUGAAGAAGGCCUUCGGGUUGUAAAGCUCUUUUGUCAGGGAAGAAACGGUUUGGGCUAAUAUCCUGAGCUAAUGACGGUACCUGAAGAAUAAGCACCGGCUAACUACGUGCCAGCAGCCGCGGUAAUACGUAGGGUGCAAGCGUUAAUCGGAAUUACUGGGCGUAAAGCGUGCGCAGGCGGUUUUGUAAGUCUGACGUGAAAUCCCCGGGCUCAACCUGGGAAUUGCGUUGGAGACUGCAAGGCUAGAAUCUGGCAGAGGGGGGUAGAAUUCCACGUGUAGCAGUGAAAUGCGUAGAGAUGUGGAGGAACACCGAUGGCGAAGGCAGCCCCCUGGGUCAAGAUUGACGCUCAUGCACGAAAGCGUGGGGAGCAAACAGGAUUAGAUACCCUGGUAGUCCACGCCCUAAACGAUGUCUACUAGUUGUCGGGUUUUAAUUAACUUGGUAACGCAGCUAACGCGUGAAGUAGA
rnacentral:rRNA from 1 species